rnacentral:misc_RNA from 1 species
GUUGAAGAACGCAGCGAAAUGCGAUAAGUAGUGUGAAUUGCAGAAUUCAGUGAAUCAUCGAAUCUUUGAACGCACAUUGUGCCUCCUGGUAUUCCGGGAGGCAUGCCUGUUCGAGCGUCAUUAAAAUCACUCAAGCUUAGGUUUACCUAUUGCUUGGUCUUGGAGAUGGAAGCCAAUUUAUUGGAAUCCUCUUCGAAAUUCAAUGGCGAAGACCCUUGCUCUCCCAAGUGUAGUAAUAACUUAUGUCACUGAAGGAAGCGAGAAAUCUUCUGCCGUAACCCCCAUAUUUUCUAUGAUUGACCUCGGAUCAGGUAGGGAUACCCGCUGAACUUAAGCAUAUCAAUAAGCGGAGGA